UACGGAGGGUGCAAGCGUUAUCCGGAUUCACUGGGUUUAAAGGGUGCGUAGGAGGGCAGGUAAGUCCGUGGUGAAAUCUCUGAGCUUAACUCAGAAACUGCCGUGGAUACUACCGGUCUUGAAUAUCGUGGAGGUGAGCGGAAUAUGUCAUGUAGCGGUGAAAUGCUUAGAUAUGACAUAGAACACCAAUUGCGAAGGCAGCUCACUACCCGAAUAUUGACUCUGAGGCACGAAAAGCGUGGGGAUCAAACAGG
rnacentral:rRNA from 1 species